rnacentral:lncRNA from 1 species
UCCACCAAGCCAAAAGACCCCUUCUCUCCUUCCUCAAACCCAAGUUCUUCCCCAAAAACUCUUCUCCCACCAUCUCUCAUUCUCAAAAUCGCCCUCUUGGAACCAAGCUCCUCCCUUUUCUUCUUCGUCAUUUGGAGCGAGUAGAGCUUGCCCUAGACUCUACCCGUCUUCUCCAAAUCGGCACUUCUCCUCUCCAAAAUCCUUUUCCUUCCCC